CGGAAGUAGCAGCUAGUGAGUCCUCGGCUAGCAGGCGCUUGUAUUUUUGCUUCUCAGUCGAAUGCUUCAGGAGUUUCAGCCGCCAUGUCUUCAGUUCAGCAACUGAGAGAGUUCAUCAGCAAGCGCCUAGCUGCUGCUGCUAAGGAAAUAUUCUCCGAGUUUGAGAAAACCAUCGAAGAAGAGCUGGAAGCUCAGCGCAGACUGCUGGAUAUCAGCUGGGAUCCGCACAGAAACGAACUCCAGGAGCAGAAUGUCUGGAAGGAGAAGAAGGUUCUGAUGAGCUACAGUCACGAUCAGGAUCAACCAGAGCCUCCACAGCUCAAAGAAGACCUGGAUGAUCCAGAACCUCCACGGAUCAAAGUGGAACAGCUGGAACCAGGACUUCCCCAGUUUGAAAGGGAACUGCAGGAACUCUGCAGCAGUCAGGAGGUACAGCAGCUGGUGCUGAAGCAGGAGACGGAUGCUUCCACCGAGCAAGACGGUGACUUUGGUGAAGCAGACCCAAACACCGAGCAGCGUUACUCUCCUGCAGCUGAGAUCCGAGAUCAGGGAGGAAACGGCUCCUCCGUGUCAGCGAACCCAGACACGGGUACAUCUGUAAAAUGUUCCCUUUGUGAGAAGAGCUUUUGGAAUAGGUACAGUUUAAAGAGGCAUCUCCGAGUUCACUCAGGAGAGAGGCCAUAUCCCUGUAAGACAUGUGGGAAAAGGUUCUCGGACGCCAGCGGUCUGACCAAACACAUUAGAAUCCACACGGGAGAGAAGAGGUUUUCCUGUGACAUCUGCGGGAAAAGUUUCAGUGAAUGUGGGAAUUUAAAAGUCCACAAGAGAACGCACACGGGCGAGAGGCCGUAUCCUUGUGAGACAUGUGGAAAGAGCUUUUCUCAGAAGAGUGCGUUGAAGUACCACAUGGAGACCCACAAAGGAGACAAAACAUUUUCCUGUAGAACCUGCAGGAGAAACUUCAUCCAUAACAACAGCCUGCUGAAGCACAUGAAGACCCACGCCGGGAAGUCGGUUUCCUGUCAGACGUGUGGGAAGGGUUUCAGCGACAAUCAUACUUUAAACGUCCACAUGAGAAUGCACACCGGGGAGAAGCCGUUCUCGUGUGCAGCUUGUGGGAAACAGUUCAGGACCAGCAGCAAUUUAUAUGUUCACAAGAGAACCCAUACGGGAGUGAAGCCGUAUUCCUGUUUGACAUGUGGGAAAAACUUCAGCUGUGGGAUUAACCUGAAGGUCCACAUGCAGACUCACGCUGGUGAAUAAGCACAGGCUGGUAGGAGAGCGGGCAUGUUUGGUUUGUUCCAUGUCAGAGCUCCUCAGCCAGAGCAGCUUGGAGGAUACUGAAACCAAGACGAUGAAACCACACAGCAGCUUCAGCUGAGCUGUCAAUCAUCAUCAGCAGCAGGGGCUGAUGGGAGCUGAGGAGCUGGUAAAACCACGUGGCCCUGGUCUGAUCUUGUUUGGCCUCAGCUGCAUCAGAGCACCACUUCUCCCCAGGUUCACCAGAGGAAACACCACUGAACAAAAUGUGUUUCCUCCCAGCUGCUGCUCUGU